rnacentral:rRNA from 1 species
AGCGAACGCUGGCGGCAGGCUUAACACAUGCAAGUCGAACGGGCGUAGCAAUACGUCAGUGGCAGACGGGUGAGUAACGCGUGGGAACGUACCUUUUGGUUCGGAACAACCCAGGGAAACUUGGGCUAAUACCGGAUAAGCCCUUACGGGGAAAGAUUUAUCGCCGAAAGAUCGGCCCGCGUCUGAUUAGCUAGUUGGUGUGGUAACGGCGCACCAAGGCGACGAUCAGUAGCUGGUCUGAGAGGAUGAUCAGCCACAUUGGGACUGAGACACGGCCCAAACUCCUACGGGAGGCAGCAGUGGGGAAUAUUGGACAAUGGGCGGCAAGCCUGAUCCAGCCAUGCCGCGUGAGUGAUGAAGGCCCUAGGGUUGUAAAGCUCUUUUGUGCGGGAAGAUAAUGACGGUACCGCAAGAAUAAGCCCCGGCUAACUUCGUGCCAGCAGCCGCGGUAAG